ensembl:lncRNA
GUGAGCCCCGAGUCAGUCUCCUGGCCCGGGUCGGUUGGGAGUUUUCUCCUGGGCCCUGUUUCAAAGUCUUCAUUCACUGAGGAACCUGGCCAGGGCAUGCUGCUGGGUGUGAUCUUCACCGAGCCAUGAGUCCCCUGGAGCUGCUCUGCAAAAGGCUGACCCGAGAUCUUCCUGUUGCCACAGGUGGGGAUCCGUUCCUCUCAGAGGCCCUGUUCCUGCAGACACACUCUGAAGGUGUCCUGAGCACACGCCAUGACCCUCUUUUGGAUCUUCGAGAGAACCUGGCCACUGUAAUACACCUUAGAGGUUGAAAGCCCUGUCUUUAACAGGACGGUGAGUCAGGACACAGCAAUGUAAGCCCAUCAUUGGGGAACAUGCCAAAGAAUAUCCAGAAGAGAUCCCUAAAGUAGAACGUUUUGAGAGGUGGGUCUUUAUAGGUGUCCAUCAAACAAGGGAUUGCUUAACUGUAUUUUCCCCAAUAAAUGUCCUGUUCUUAACUUGGUCUUCACCUGAGAGCGGGAGUUAAUUUGAUAACACAGGACACAGUUUAAAACUGCAACUGAGCACAGACAGCAGAUAGGCUGACAACCGAU